ACGGAGGAUCCGAGCGUUAUCCGGAUUUAUUGGGUUUAAAGGGAGCGUAGGUGGACUGGUAAGUCAGUUGUGAAAGUUUGCGGCUCAACCGUAAAAUUGCAGUUGAUACUGUCAGUCUUGAGUACAGUAGAGGUGGGCGGAAUUCGUGGUGUAGCGGUGAAAUGCUUAGAUAUCACGAAGAACUCCGAUUGCGAAGGCAGCUCACUGGAUUGCAACUGACACUGAUGCUCGAAAGUGUGGGUAUCAAACAG
rnacentral:rRNA from 1 species